UGGAACUGCAAGUGUGACUGUGAUGUGCAGCCUUGUCCUUCUUUUUCCAGCAAUGCCUUGGUUUCCAUGGAGCUCUUCUUCAUCUCUGCAGGUUUGGUUUAGACUUCAUGGGAAUCUCUAUCUGUAUUUGCAACUUUCUUUACAAAAUGCAUGUGAACACCUGUCACCAUAGGGGUUUUUUAAAGUUGGAAGAGAAAGGCAGAUGAAUGAACCUCAAAAUGAUGCCAUAUGAAAAACACUCAACUCUCCAUUGCUGGUUUUGAAGAUGGAAGGAUGUCACAAACUAAGGGGUACAAACAAACUCUGCAAGUUAGAAAAACAAGAAAAUUAAAAUAUUUCCCUAGA